AGUUUAUAUCAGCACGUAAGAGUCGACAGAAGGCAGUGGUUGAUAGAGCGUGAUCUGUACAUGACACGGGAACCCACUUAGAAAAAAGAUAAAUAAAUAAAUAAAAAAAGAGGACGACGAACAGUGAAUAAGUGAAUAAGUGAACAAAGAAGAGGAAUGAAGAGAAAUAUACAUAAAAAAAAACUCAACUACAAAAUAUGACCUUCAGAUAACAAGCUUUAAUUAUAGAAGCAUAACGUGUCACCGGAAGAAAUAAGACAAAGAAAACGGGAAACGGAAAGAAAAAUGAAGAGGGGGAGCUUCAGAAAAACGGACUAAAAAUGGUACAAUGAUAAAAUAAGCUGUAUAACUAUGAAUAAUAUCAAAAGUGAAUGAAUAAUACGAACUUAGACGUGAGUGAAAGAUAUAAAGUUACUGGAAAUAGGAUCAUGAGGAGGAAAAUAAGAAAAGAACAAAGACAAAAAGG